rnacentral:rRNA from 1 species
AUUGAACGCUGGCGGCAGGCCUAACACAUGCAAGUCGAGCGGAUGAAGGGAGCUUGCUCCUGGAUUCAGCGGCGGACGGGUGAGUAAUGCCUAGGAAUCUGCCUUGUAGUGUGGGAUAACGUCCGGAAACGGGCGCUAAUACCGCAUACGUCCUGAGGUAGAAAGUGGGUGAUCUUCGGACCUCACGCUAUCAUAUGAGCCUAGGUCGGAUUAGCUAGUUGGUGGGGUAAAGGCCUAACAAGGCGACGAUCCGUAACUGGUCUGAGAGGAUGAUCAGUCACACUGGAACUGAGACACGGUCCAGACUCCUACGGGAGGCAGCAGUGGGGAAUAUUGGACAAUGGGGGAAAGCCUGAUACAGGAAUGCCGCGUGUGUGAAGAAGGUCUUCGGAUUGUAAAGCACUUUAAGUUGGGAGGAAGGGAAGUAAGUUAAUACCUUGCUGUUUUGACGUUACCAACAGAAUAAGCACCGGCUAACUUCGUG